AUCAGCCAUUUUUCCAUUGCAAUUGAAAUUGAGAAAGCUUCAAUCUCCCUUUUGCAUAGAAAGGACAAAAUCAUGCUUCUCAACUCUUCAUUUCUUCUGUCCAACAUUUCUCUUUCAUAUACUCUAUCAGCUUGUCAUACAACUCAAUCUUUUCCCAGACAGAAGUCAACAUUCCAGUGUUGCUUAGCUGCCACAUUACAAGAUAAAAGGGUUAGGGAACUGAAUGUAAAUAUAUUGCAUUAUGAGGACAACAUGAAGCGCAGAUCUCUCCUGUUUUUUCUGAUUACAUCCGGCAUAUCUCCCGCUUUUCCAGCUUUUGGGAAAACAAAGAGCAAAAACCCGUAUGAUGAAAGACGCUUACUAGAGCAGAACAAACGGAUCCAGAGAGAAAAUAAUGCCCCUGAAGAGUUCCCCAGUUUCAUCAGAGAAGGUUUUACAGUUAAAGUAGUAACGCCUGAAAAUUACGAAAAGCGUGAUUCAGGUCUUAUAUUGCGGGAUUUUUCUGUUGGUGAAGGUGAUUGCCCAAAGGAUGGUCA
rnacentral:misc_RNA from 1 species